rnacentral:misc_RNA from 1 species
GAACAAUCUGCAUAUUUAUUAUUGGCCGGUGUGAUCAGGUGACCUUUGCCAUACUCAGAGACUCAGACAUUCUCCUUUGCCAUACUUUGAGCAGCCAAAAGCUCUAUUCUCUGAGUCUGAGCCUCGAGUUUGCGUGACAACUCGUUAUUUAACUAUGCUUAUGUAUUUUGUUGAAUUGCUGUGGUGAGAUUUGAUCUUAGUUGGAAACAUGAACGGUUG